UACGAAGGGGGCUAGCGUUGUUCGGAAUUACUGGGCGUAAAGGGCGUGUAGGCGGCGUGUCAAGUCAGGCGUGAAAGCCCCGGGCUCAACCUGGGAACCGCGCUUGAGACUGGCAUGCUCGAGUUCGGGAGAGGAUGGUGGAAUUCCCAGUGUAGAGGUGAAGUUCGUAGAUAUUGGGAAGAACACCGAUGGCGAAGGCAGCCAUCUGGACCGACACUGACGCUGAGGCGCGAAAGCGUGGGGAGCAAACAGG
rnacentral:rRNA from 1 species